GACGAACCGAGCGAACGUUGUUCGGAAUCACUGGGCUUAAAGGGCGCGUAGGCGGGUGCUCAAGUCUGUGGUGAAAUCCUCCGGCUCAACCGGAGAACUGCCAUGGAUACUGGGUGUCUCGAGGGUGGUAGGGGUAGUGCGGAACUAUCGGUGGAGCGGUGAAAUGCGUUGAUAGUCGAUAGGAACUCCGGUGGCGAAGGCGGCGCACUGGACCACAACUGACGCUGAGGCGCGAAAGCUAGGGGAGCAAACAGG
rnacentral:rRNA from 1 species